rnacentral:rRNA from 1 species
AUACGGAGGAUGCAAGCGUUAUCCGGAUUUAUUGGGUUUAAAGGGUGCGUAGGCGGGAGAAUAAGCGUGAGGUGAAAUGCCCCGGCUCAACCGGGGAACUGCCUCGCGAACUGUUCUUCUUGAAUGCUCCUGCCGUGGGAGGAAUGGGUAGUGUAGCGGUGAAAUGCAUAGAUAUUACCCAGAACACCGAUUGCGAAGGCAUCUCACGAAGGGGCUAUUGACGCUGAGGCACGAAAGCGUGGGGAUCGAACAGGAUUAGAUACCCUGGUAGUCCACGCAGUAAACGAUGAUGACUAACCGCCGGCGACAGACCGAUCGGUGGCCAAGCGAAAGCGAUAAAUCAUCCACCUGGGGAGUACGACCGCAAGGUUGAAACUCAAAGGAAUUGACGGGG